CGGAACGGGUGAGUAAUAUAUCGGAACGUACCCAGAAGUGGGGGAGUAACGUAGCGAAAGUUACGCUAAUACCGCAUACGAUCUACGGAUGAAAGUGGGGGACCUUCGGGCCUCAUGCUUUUGGAGCGGCCGAUAUCUGAUUAGCUAGUUGGUGAGGUAAAGGCUCACCAAGGCGACGAUCAGUAGCUGGUCUGAGAGGACGACCAGCCACACUGGGACUGAGACACGGCCCAG
rnacentral:rRNA from 1 species